GCACUGCUGACAAUUCCCAAACAGGACGAAACAGCUGUCCAGUAC
rnacentral:hammerhead_ribozyme from 1 species